UGAAUAAAGUCGUCGUUUUUGCUUUUUUUGGACCAAAAUGUAUUUUCGAUGCUUCAAAAUAUUCUAGCUGACCCUCUGAUGUCACAUGGACUACUUUGAUGAUGUUUUUCUUACCUUUCUGGACAUGGACAGUAGACCGUACACACAGUUUCAGUGGAGGGAUUGAGAGCUCUCGGACUAAAUCUAAAAUAUCUUAAACUGUGUUCCAAAGAUAAACGGAGGUCUCGCGGGUUUGGAACGACAUGAGGAACAUUGAACAACCACCAGGAGAGGAGAGGAGAGGAGGACUCGAGGAGGGAGGUGUUUUGAUAUAUAUUAUAUAAAAUCUACUGUUGUAUGCUGUGAAGAGAUGGAGACUCUGAAGUGGAUGCAGCGAUGGCAGAACACCUGAAGCUCGCUCCAGGAAGAGAUGGGGGUGGAGGUUACAAGAAAUGAGCCAAACAACUAUAUCUCAGCACUGCUUCAGAAUGCCUCUCUACCCUGCCCUAAAGUAAAUGCGAAGAACUUCAACAUUUCUAAGGUUAUCCCAGAUCCUCAGCCCUGCUGUGAGACAUCUUCUUGACGUGAUCUAACCCCUUACUCAUCAAUUCUGCAGAAACAACUACUUGUUGCUUACAGUUUAAUGCUGAUCAGGCGGCUGUACAUGCCUUUAUAUAGCAAUUACUAUUGUAUAAUGA